rnacentral:tRNA from 1 species
GGGUAGGUGGCAGAGUGGACAAAUGCCCGGGUCUGUAAAACCCGUGCCUUAUGGCUACGGAGGUUCGAAUCCUCCCCUACCCA